UAAAAAAUUAAAGUUUUCCCUUCUUCCCUUCCCCACGAUUUUCCCUUCUUCCCCUUCCCUACGAUUUUUCCAUUCCUUCCAAAGUUAAUCACUCAUGCCCCCGUCACCGCACCUUAGCCGCUGCCUCAUCGUUCGCCGCCACUGCUAACUCCAGUCGCAAGCUCAACUAAAUCUGACUCCUGCUGAUGCCGUGAUGCUAAUUCCAGCCGUGCUGCAACUCCUGACGCCACCAAAAUCUGACUCCAGCCACUUCCUUCUCGACUCACGUUGUCGCACACUGCCGCAUACUAUCAGACAAUGUUUCCAAUUCGAAGCCUUUUAGUUUCUGUUGCAAAGCCACAAAUUACUUACUCCCUCCAUCCUCAUUUGCCUCCUCCAUCUCCAUCGGCCCUAAUCUCCAAAUCCCACGAUAACAUCCCAAUUUGAAGGACUUUUUCUCUUAUAUUGAUACUUUUGUUUGCUUUUGGAUUAGAGAAUUAUUCGUUGUGGUGGAGCCCUUGAUGAUGAUAUGUCGAAUAUCAUUGUUGCUCGACUUCUAUACCCUGAUGCUAUUGAUCCCAAUGAGGACAUGGAGUAGCCAAUGGUAGGUCUAAUCAAAGUAGAAGUGAGAAAAAGAGUCGUAAAGCAAUGCUGAAGCUUGGAAUGAAGCCUAUCUUCGGUGUGAGCCAUGUCACAGUCAAGAAAAGCAAAAAUGUUGGUUUUUUUCAACAUCCCAAAUUUGACACUUCUAAAUUGAUUCUAUCUAAUAUCUAUGGAAUUUUUUCUGCAGAUGUUAUCUAAUAUCUAAAUUGAUUCUAUCUAAUAUUUAUGCAUUGUCUCAUAAUUUUAUUGAAUUGUGAUAUCUAACUUCAUUCUUUUAACUUUAUUUUCAAUGCAAUGUUGAUAAUUUGUGAUUUCAGAUAUGUAUGUUCUAAAUUUUAAGAUAUGUAUGUUCUAGUUUUGUUUUUAGUUUUGUAGAACUUCAUGUUUUAUUUUAGAUAUCUAGAUACAAGUCAAGAGUAUAUUACAACACAGAAACAAGCAUUUUUUUAUUCUCACAAGGAUGAAGAUUUGAGUAAGGUUUGUAUUUUUGUCUGUUUUAUGUUUCUUUAAUUAGCAUUGCAAAUUUGUUGGAGUUUGAUUUUUAGAGUUUCGUUUUGUUUUUGCAACUAUCUUUGAAGUUUAUUAAUUCCGAGAAGUUUCAAAGGUGAGUUUAUGUUUGUUGUUGUUGUUGUGAGACGGUGGAGUGGUGAUAUUUCUUUCUUUGUGGAGGAGAAUAUCCUCUGGCUUGUGUUUAUUUUGUUUUUUUUUUUAAAUUUUAUUAUUGAAUUGUGUGUAUUUUCUAAAGAAAUAUGAGAAAAACCGUUUAAUGCUCUCUGUUGAAAAGUUGAAGUUGUAGUAAUUUAAUUACAUAUUAGGUUUAUUUUUCAGUUUAAGGCUCUCUGUUAGUGAUUUAACAAAGGUGAUUUUUCUUAUGUGAUCGACUUGAGUCAACAAAGUCUAGUUUUGCUUUAUUUUAUGUAGUUUUUUACUGUAAAUUAUAUGUACCUGGUUGAUUGUUAGUUCGUUAAUUCUAGAGAUGGCUUUUAAAAUUGAAAUUUAGGGAUUCUGAUCUUGUUAAGGUCAAGAACAUGUAUAGUAUUACUAUUUACUUUUGUUUGCUUUUGGAUGUCUGGAUGUUCAUGUUUGGUGGUCAUUACGUAUAAGACUUAGAAGCAUAUAUACAGAUGCUGAGGUGGAAUAUUCUUUCAAUAUAUUUCUUUUCCUCUGAUGCAAAUGAUGACUAUCACUCCCUAUGAUCUUUUUUUCCCUCUAUUUACUGUAUGCUUCUUCCUUACCUACUCAAUGAAGAUUUUGGAAGUUGAGUAGAUCAUGGACAUUGAAACAGGACUUGAACUAAUAAUGAAGAAAAUGUUGAAAAGGUUUGUUUUUCAUUUUUCAAUUUUUUGCUAUGUCGAAAGUAAUUGUUUUUACAUUUUAAGACACUUGCAUAAAUGAUCAUACAAAGGAUAGAAGGUUCGACCAAAACCUCACAGAAAGAAGGAUAGUCCUCAGAAAGCUAUCGAGAAGGUAGUAUUCAUUUUGCUUUGUUCUUUUGCCUGAAUGAUAUUACCUCGAAAACAUAAAUACUUUCAAAGAGUAAUUCAAUCCCUCUUGCAACCAAAGUCAUAUGUCUUUCAGGUUCUAGAUACUUUAAUUUUUUAUAUUAUAGUCAGCUCGUUGUGUAAUCUUUUCUUGAAUUUAUGUCAUUGUCAGUUUAGUAAAAAUUGAUGCUAUCUUCUUUUGUGGUACAUAUUUUGGACAACGGAAAAAAGAUAGGAUUGAAACAUUUCAAGCCAAUGAAGCCUUUGGGGUCUGAAAAAAAUCAGUCCGUCCAAUCACCUAUUUUGUCUUGUAUUUUCAAGAUACUAGAAGUUUUUUUUCCACCAUUUUUACUGGUUCUGUUCAGAAUGAAUCAAUGUUAAUUUAUCAAACAAAUCUUUGUAUCAGCAUUAAGCACAAAUAUUUGUAUUAUUGGCUGCAAUGUGCAUUUGGUAGAACUGUGUGGGACUAAUCAAUACUUUGCAAUGAAGGCAAUAGAUAAGGGUGUCAUGCUCAACCGCAACAAGGUUUUGUAAUAUUUUAGUUUAAAUUCAUCAAUAUUUUCCCUUGGUUCAUAUUAUAAAUUUAAAUACAUUUCAUUUUAGAUCUGAAAAGUGAAGAACACGAAAUUCACAUCUACGAAUGAGGUUUGAGAUUUCUCCCUUUCUUAUAUUUUUCUGAUGUGCAUCUGAAAUUGCUAAUAGCUAACCAACAUGUGUAUAGCUAACCUACAUCUGAAAUUGCUGAUAGAUAAAUUAAGGUAAUUUCAUUGUAUUUAGAUCUCUCUAAUUUGCAUUUUUUCCUUAUAGUUUGUACUUUAAUUUUUUUCUUUCAAUUUAUAAUCUCAUUCACUCUCUGUAUAUAUAGUAUUCAAUCGUGUUUAUAUUAUUGUUUACUCAUAAAUUUGUAUACGAGUAUAUGGUUCAAAUCUUUACUUGUUGAAAGGUAGGGCUUUGAGGUUCAAUGAGAAUCUAAACUUGUCUAGAGAAUAUUGUCUAUUUGUUGACAACUUGAGCAGGAUAUGUUUUCCACAAACUUGUCUCAAGAAAUAUUGCCUUUUUCUUAACUGCUUACUUGAAAUGAUCUAUUCUAUAGAUUCUGUACUUUUGCAUUUUUGUACAAUUGUGUUCUUUGAGCGUUCCGAUAUUAUAUAUGAUGUGUCUACCCUCACAAAGAAACCUAGUAGAAUUGUAUAUGAAGUAUGUAGCUUUCUUCUUUACUUCUUACUCAAACGUCUUUUUUCUUUUUUUCAUAUGGUAUUGAAGUGACUGCUCCCUUCGAUGGUGCAUUUGAUUUUAUGGAACUUUGUUAUGACAUUGGAUUUUAUUUUGAAAGAAACAUGCUUUUAUGCUUGAUAAGUUAAUAGCUUCAACAUGAAAGUUAAUGACCAAAUGUUUACUGAUGGAAAGAACCAAAUAAAGCAUGUCUUUGGGAAUUAAUGUGAUUCAUUUAAAAAACAAUGACGAGUUGGAGUUUUUAAUUGAGAAUUGAAAAUGAUGAGGUAGUAUUCUGUUGAUUUUUAUAGCAUCUGCUCUAUUAGAAUAUAUGUAAAACUUUUUCAGUAGGCUACUUAAUUUAGUAUUUCGAUGUAGCUUAUUCUGAUGACUGACCUACAAAUAGCACAAAGGAAGCUUUUGAGAAAGUCGUUUUCAUCAAAACUCAAAAGACUAAUGCUCGAACAAGGGAAUGAUUGAAGACAUAUCGGGUUGAAAGCGAACCGAUUGUGUAGAUAGUCAGGCUAUUAUUGAAGGUUAAAGACUAAGAUGUUUAGAAUUUCUUGUUAAAGUCUUGUAUUAGGAUCUUGUUUCAUGUACUGUUGUAGAAUGUAUAUGUGAAUACAAUAUUAAAAUUUUA